rnacentral:lncRNA from 1 species
GCGAGAUUAUCUCCGUCGUAAGAAGAGAAGAACGCGAGCUGUCGUGUAGUGUAGAGUUGUAGUUCGACUAGCAACAAGACAAAGGGCCGCGAGUUGGUAGUGUAGUCUAUACUACUAUUAUCUAUACUACUAUUAAAAGAUCAAACAUGACUUCCCCUACGUGCACCCCAAAAAGUGCACACAGGAUAACCCCCACGUUCGAUCAGACCCGUUAAGUUCCAUCCAACUGUCCACGUUACAUCGACCAUACUACAAUCAGAUCUACGGCUCAAAACAAAUGUUCUGCCGGCAGACUCCCCGCUCAGGAUGCUAGACAACGCAACGAUAGGAGCCCACGAAAUUAAACAACACGUCCGAGAUCAACGCCGCCACCAACAGCUAAAAGGGAAAAAAAAGAAAAACACCGCCACCAGGCCACGAACGUGCCCUAGCAGGUGCCAUCUCGAGGAAACCUGGUGCCGUCCCGACGACCUGCCCUAGAUCUGAUGUCCAUAACGUCCUCGACUCGCUGGCCGUCGUCUCGAGGACACCUCGGGCAAUCCCGACGCGCCGCCCUAGCUUCGUUGUCCACACCGUCCUCGCCCUAGUGGCCGCACCAUCUCAAGGCCAUUGGUCAACAUCGGAGUACUUCCAGCCUGCCACUGCAAGGUUAGAUCAUUUCAAUGUCCACAUCUUAUGAUGAGAAAGAAAAUACAGGAAAUUUCACCAUUACACUGCUGAUCUAUAAUUUGUUACCAUCAUGUGUGUACAAAUUUAAUACCUACAGGACACCAUGAUCUAUAAUGGGGUAGUGGGGUACGGACUUCAUUUCAGGACCGCAAACGAACAGCAAUUCAAGUAAAUAUAUAUAUCACCAACGUCUAACCUACUUAGACUUUGUAAAUCAUGAAGAUCUCAUUUCUCACAGGUCAAAAAGCAGAUCCAAAAAAAGUGAGGAGACAAAGGAAGAGGGAGAGGUAUGCACGAUAUUAAAAAGGAGACGUGAGGCAAGGGAUCAUAAGAAAACUACAUAUGCUAUUCCAAAUGGAAAGCGCAUUCCAUAACACCCGUGGGCAUACCGCCUGGUUUGUCCAUUUUCUCUAUUCUUUAUGAUACAUAUGAUGAAUCACAAGUAUAAUCAUAUUGAUGAUCCAUUAUUUCUGACAGAAGAUUUUCACACUGCAGAGAAGCCCACGGCGCACUCUGCUGUCACCCAGCUAUGAUACACACCAGCGGCGGAAGGUGAUGUUUUUCUAACCAAACAUAAUAGCUUCAUUUAUGUGUGAACAACUGACAUUGUACAGACAAUUGUGAUCCUGGCAUACCUGUUGAUGUGAUGAUGUCUGAUGAGACUCCAUUCCAUGGUCCAGAUUCAUUAAAAACACCCCACAGUGCCGUUUCUAACAAGGAAAAUGUCAAUAAUGUUGACUCUGGCAUUUAGUCUUCCCAUCGUACUGGGUUAUGAGCGCCACUUCAAGCCUAGAAUUGCAGCUUGUCAAAUGGUAAACUGUUGCUCGCAUGGCAUGAGCAAAAUAAAGAAGAAAAACAAUUGUUGCUCAUAUUGUGCAUCGGAGCUAAUUUGCGUCUAUAUCAUACAGAAGAAAAACAACUGUUGCACAUAUUGUAGCUAAUUCACACUUAUAUUUACAGAAGAAAAGCAAGCACUUCAGAGGGAGAGAGAUUUAUGAAUUUCAGUACAAUUGUUCUUGAUAACUAGAUCUGUUAUAGCAACUUGUUCUGACAUCAAAUGCAACACCUUUGACAUCGAUAAUUUGCUCAUGUCAUGGAUCUUUUUUACAUUGCAAUUCUUCAGAUUGUAUUAGUUCAGCACUAUUCUGUGCUGCAAUGGAGAUAUAGCUUAUAGACGAUCAAUAUAUCAGCCAUAGGACCACAAUGCUUUUCACAAAGCUGUGACAUUCUCUACCAAUGUGAAAUACUUGUAAUGAAAACUGCAAGCAUCUAUGGCAUUUGCGUAAUGUAUAGUUUUUUUGAGCAUGUAAAGUUACUUCCAUUCUGACUGAAGUUAAAAUUCUUGCUUAUUGUUGGGGACAGAGUGUGAAGCAGGUUGGUUUAUUAAGAGCAGGUUGAUACAUGCAAGGACAGAAUUGUCGCUGCCCUGGACACACUAUGGCCUACAUCUUCAUGGGAGAGAAGUGCUGCUUCUGGGCAGGAAGCAGAUACAGUUUUUCUUGGUGGGUGUAGUUUUGGAACAGCCAUGUCUUCUCUAAUUGAGUACUUGAGUUCGGAGUAUGGUUAUACUUUUGCUUAGGAUAAGUUAACACGUCUCUUUCUACGAUUUUUAAAUGCUUCUUGUCAGGAAGGCAAUUAUGUUUGUAAGGAUAGUGUAUUUUGCAAAGACUUUUGUACUUGCUAUUUUUAUUCUUAAAUAAAAACAGCAGGGUAAUUGCUUUUCUUACUGGUGCUCCUGAUUAUGAAGAUGGUCAACUAGACACUAAGAGAUAUGGUGAGCAAUAUGCUAGCAAAGAGGAAGAUGUUGACCUCAUGUUGCUCCCUGAGCAGAUACCUUCCUAUAGAGAUCUGGUAAGCUUGUGCUUCUUUUGCAGUAAAAAAAAUCUAUCCAUUAGUGAAAUUUUGAAACAAGCCACUGUGGUGCUGUUGCUGUUCAAGCAGGACUAUGUGUAAACAUAUUUGCAGGAAUAUGUGUAAACAUAUUUGCAGGCGAAUGCUAUCCUGAGAUUGACUAACAAUUGCUAUCCUGAGAUUGACUGAACUUCAGUACAUUACUACUGUUUUGACUUGAAGAUGUCCUCGAAUGCCAAAUUGCUCUGCAGACUUUGAACCCCUUUCAUUUUCUUUCAUGUAAAGUUCUUUUUAUUAAAUGGCAGUGGAUGUUGAGUUAUCUAUGCUAGCAAUGCGAUGUUAGAGAGAGGCGUGUGGAACCGCAUCAGGGAGGGAAGGGAACCAAAUCUAGCACCGUACCAAAUCGAAACGAGGAGAGGGAGGAAAAGGAAGACCUUCCAUGACGGCACGACAUCCCAAGAAGAAGAAGCAUCCUCCCCCUACAUCGAGCUGAGUUGGUGAUGCUUAAUGGCGUCGGAGCGGGGGCAGGGGCGGCGGCGUCCCGAGCUCCAUGGCCCUUCACAACGGCGCGACUCCGCUCCAUCUGGCGCCGACUGAGCCUGAGGUGCUCGCGGUUGUGGGACGCCAUGGAGCUCUAGGUCGAAGCGUCCUCCCCACGUACACGCAGUGGAUCUCGGUCCGCUCCGAGAUGCCCGCUCCCGCAUCACAUCCAGCAGCUCGUAGCUUGAUCUGCGCCGGGGCACGGAGGCGGCAUAGUCGAUUUAUGGAACACCGGCGGGGUUGGCGGCGAGGCGAGGCAAGGCCAUGGCGGGGAAAGGAGGCGGCGGGGCAGGAGACGGAGUGCGCCGGCGGGCUGGAGUCGAGGCGGCGUGCGAAGGAGAGGAUGUAGCGGGGAGAGCAGGCGGCGAGGAAAGCAAAGUGUCUG